AGCCUGACUCCCAACUGAAAAGCUGUUUUAUCUGAAACCAGCUUAGUUUGUGUUGCUGCAAGAGGAUCUCUUUUCUUGAUGGAGCAGGCUAAUGUGUUCGUUAUCAAGCAAAAGCCAUCCCUUUUGGAGUGUUGUGGCAAGAGUUCAUUCUUCAAGAACCCUUUGGGACUUGGUCUCAGUGCAACAUCUGUCUCAGUCAGAAGGACAGCUCCAUGUUUUGAGGCAGCCUUUAAUUAAAGUGUGACUAUUUUUCAGGAAAGUGGCAUUGCAUUACCCAAGUAGUAGUGGCAUCUGUGAACAGCCAUCCUCGGGCAGCAAAUAAAGAUAACAAGGAGAGUGGUUCUCUUCUGGAAGCUCUAAAGACAUAAUGAUGAAAAAUGCUGAUUAUUUUAUUGCAGAAAUUUGCAGGCAAGGUAAAAAUGAGAGAGAGGCUGUAACACUUGAAGGAGGCCAUUGCUGUAUAUUACCUCACCUUUAUUUUACAUUUUUAAACGUGCAGUCUGAUUUUUUUGGUGAUCCUUGUUCAAGCAAAAGAUGACAGCCUCUCAAGGUCACUAAUCUGAUCCCUAAAAGGUCAUGAAAACAUAACAUUUGCUUUUCAGUGGGUUUCUAUAAAUGCACUCUUGAUGCUGAUGGUAAUGCAGAUUGCCUUCGUUCUAUUAAGAGAUAAUGAAAGAGUUUGUUGUCAUUUA